UGUGUAUUACGUGCGGAAAUUGUUACCAUUUUCGGCUCAAAAAUGGUAACAAUUUCCGCACGUAAUACAAA
rnacentral:miRNA from 1 species